AACGCACAUUGCGCCCAUUGGUAUUCCGAUGGGCAUGCCUGUUCGAGCGUCAUUACAUACCAUCAAGCGACCCCCUUGCACACGCCGGGGGGGCCCUUGGCCUUGGGUAAAUGGCCCCCCCCACUCUCGGGGGGGGGGGGGCUUACCCGAAAGAUAGCGGCGGCGGUAGAAAAGCCUCAAGCGCAUCGGAAACCCUUCGCUUGUCGGGUCUAUUCUACGGCCGGCCCCCUAGAACCCCAAAUAACCUCAAAAGGUUGACCUCGGAUCAGGUAGGAAUACCCGCUGAACUUAA
rnacentral:misc_RNA from 1 species